rnacentral:lncRNA from 1 species
GAAUGGUAGCUGCUCCUGUGACCAUAAGCACACAGAAAAUACCACGGUGGGUCUGUGUAGCUAUCUAUCCAGUCCAGUUGAAUCUCCAGCAUGACACCCAAGGAUAGUUUGGUUGAAGAACACAUCUGCUGCCCAUGAUGUAGAUCUUAGAGAGUUUUAGUUAUAAAGGUUUUCAUGCAUUUUGUCACAGACUCAGAAUCCACAAGACAUUCGGGAGAGGAAGAAUACCCUGUCCCAGCACGACCUCUCCUCCUGGCCAUCCCAUUGCCAUCCGGAGCCUGCCAUUUUGUCUUCUGUGCCAUCUUCAUUCCAGAUUAGCCCUGAGCUAACUGCUGCCAAUCGUCCUCUUUUUGCUGAGGAAAACUGGCCCUGAGUUAACAUCUGUGCCCAUCUUCCUCUACUUUAUAUGUGGGACGCCUGCCGCAGCAUGGUGUGCCAAGUGGUGCCAUGUCCGCAUCCAGGAUCUGAACCCGCAAACCCCAGGCCACCGAAGCGGAAUGUGCGCACUUAACUGCUGUGCCACCAGGCCAGCCCGAGGGUCUUUUCUUAUGUUUACUUGCCAUAUGUGUUUGCUCUUCUAUAAAACAUCUGUUUAUAGUUACCCUUUUUGUUUUUGAGGAAGAUUGUUCCUGUGCUAAUAUCUGUUGCUCAAUCCUCCUCUUUUUGCUGAGGAAGGUUGGCCUUGAGCUAACAUCUGUGCCCAUCUUUCUCUGUUUUAUAUGUGGGAUGCCACCACAGCAUGGCUUGAUAAGCAGUGUGCAGGUCUGCACCCAGGAUCCAAACAGACGAACCCCUGGCUGCUGGAGCCGGCCCCUAUUUACCCUUUUUCUAUUUGGUUGUUUGCCUCUCACAUAUUUUUAAGCAAAAUUUGAAUCACACUACACAUGCCAUUGUCUACUUUUCCAUGGCAUGAAAUGUUCUUUUACACUGUGAUUUUAAUCACUGUGGCAUCUUCUAUCUCAUGGACAUCUCAUAAUUUAAUUAAUCAGAACCCUGUGUAUUUUUUUCAAUUUUGGUUUUUCGCAGUAACUCUGGUAAGACAUCCUAGUGCAUAAAUUUAAUUACAUUACACUGAAUGUUUUCAUAAAAUAAGUUGCAAGAAUUUGGAUUUCUGGGUCAAAAGAUAUCAACAUUUUAAAAGAUUUUAAUAUAUAUUUCCAAAUCACGUUACAGAAAGGUUGUAGAAUUUACAUUUCGUCGAAAAACUCUUUAACAUAGAAUAUUAAAUUUCAAAUAUUUUGCUAAUUUAACUUGUAAAUACUAGCAAUAAAGAUAAACAAUAUUUUCA